GAUGAACGCUGGCGGCGUGCCUAAUACAUGCAAGUCGAGCGAACGGACGAGAAGCUUGCUUCUCUGAUGUUAGCGGCGGACGGGUGAGUAACACGUGGAUAACCUACCUAUAAGACUGGGAUAACUUCGGGAAACCGGAGCUAAUACCGGAUGAUAUUUUGAACCGCAUGGUUCAAAAGUGAAAGACGGUCUUGCUGUCACUUAUAUAUGGCUCCGCGCUGCAUUAGCUAGUUGGUAAGGUAACGGCUUACCAAGGCAACGAUGCAUAGCCGACCUGAGAGGGUGAUCGGCCACACUGGGACUGAGACACGGUCCAGACUCCUACGGGAGGCAGCAGUAGGGAAUCUUCCGCAAUGGGCGAAAGCCUGACGGAGCAACGCCGCGUGAGUGAAGAAGGUCUUCGGAUCGUAAAACUCUGUUAUUAGGGAAGAACAUAUGUGUAAGUAACUGUGCACAUCUUGACGGUACCUAAUCAGAAAGCCACGGCUAACUACGUG
rnacentral:rRNA from 1 species